GACGAACGCUGGCGGCGUGCUUAACACAUGCAAGUCGAGCGGAAAGGCCCUGCUUUUGUGGGGUGCUCGAGUGGCGAACGGGUGAGUAACACGUGAGUAACCUGCCCUUGACUUUGGGAUAACUUCAGGAAACUGGGGCUAAUACCGGAUAGGAGCUCCUGCUGCAUGGUGGGGGUUGGAAAGUUUCGGCGGUUGGGGAUGGACUCGCGGCUUAUCGGCUUGUUGGUGGGGUAGUGGCUUACCAAGGCUUUGACGGGUAGCCGGCCUGAGAGGGUGACCGGCCACAUUGGGACUGAGAUACGGCCCAGACUCCUACGGGAGGCAGCAGUGGGGAAUAUUGCACAAUGGGCGGAAGCCUGAUGCAGCAACGCCGCGUGCGGGAUGACGGCCUUCGGGUUGUAAACCGCUUUCGCCUGUGACGAAGCGUGAGUGACGGUAAUGGGUAAAGAAGCACCGGCUAACUACGUG
rnacentral:rRNA from 1 species